AUUGAACGCUGGCGGCAUGCUUUACACAUGCAAGUCGAACGGUAACAGGGAGCUUGCUCCGCUGACGAGUGGCGAACGGGUGAGUAAUGCGUCGGAACGUGCCGAGUAGUGGGGGAUAACGCAGCGAAAGUUGUGCUAAUACCGCAUACGUACUGAGGUAGAAAGUGGGGGACCUUCGGGCCUCACGCUAUUCGAGCGGCCGACGUCUGAUUAGCUAGUAGGUGAGGUAAAGGCUCACCUAGGCGACGAUCAGUAGCGGGUCAGAGAGGAUGAUCCGCCACACUGGGACUGCGACACGGCCCAGGCUCCUACGGGAGGCAGCAUUGGGGAAUUUUGGACAAUGGGCGAAAGCCUGAUCCAGCCAUGCCGCGUGUCUGAAGAAGGCCUUCGGGUUGUAAAGGACUUUUGUCGGGGAGGAAAUCCCCAGCGCUAAUACCGCUGGGGGAUGACAGUACCUGAAGAAUAAGCACCGGCUAACUACGUGCCAGCCGCCGCAGUAAGAC
rnacentral:rRNA from 1 species